rnacentral:tRNA from 1 species
GGGCGGGUGGCGGAACUGGCAGACGCACGGGACUUAAAAUCCCGAGUCCCAUUAGUGGGAUGUGAGGGUUCAAAUCCCUCCCCGCCCA